rnacentral:rRNA from 1 species
GACGAACGCUGGCGGCGUGCUUAACACAUGCAAGUCGAACGGACAGGCCCUGCUUUUGUGGGGUGCUCGAGUGGCGAACGGGUGAGUAACACGUGAGUAACCUGCCCUUGACUUUCGGAUAACUUCAGGAAACUGGGGCUAAUACCGGAUAGGAGCUCCUGCUGCAUGGUGGGGGUUGGAAAGUUUCGGCGGUUGGGGCUGGACUCGCGGCUUAUCAGCUUGUUGGUGGGGUAGUGGCUUACCAAGGCUUUGACGGGUAGCCGGCCUGAGAGGGUGACCGGCCACAUUGGGACUGAGAUACGGCCCAGACUCCUACGGGAGGCAGCAGUGGGGAAUAUUGCACAAUGGGCGGAAGCCUGAUGCAGCAACGCCGCGUGCGGGAUGACGGCCUUCGGGUUGUAAACCGCUUUCGCCUGUGACGAAGCGUGAGUGACGGUAAUGGGUAAAGAAGCACCGGCUAACUACGUG